AGAUUGAACGCUGGCGGCAGGCCUAACACAUGCAAGUCGAGCGGUAGCACAGAGAGCUUGCUCUCGGGUGACGAGCGGCGGACGGGUGAGUAAUGUCUGGGAAACUGCCUGAUGGAGGGGGAUAACUACUGGAAACGGUAGCUAAUACCGCAUAACGUCGCAAGACCAAAGUGGGGGACCUUCGGGCCUCAUGCCAUCAGAUGUGCCCAGAUGGGAUUAGCUAGUAGGUGGGGUAACGGCUCACCUAGGCGACGAUCCCUAGCUGGUCUGAGAGGAUGACCAGCCACACUGGAACUGAGACACGGUCCAGACUCCUACGGGAGGCAGCAGUGGGGAAUAUUGCACAAUGGGCGCAAGCCUGAUGCAGCCAUGCCGCGUGUGUGAAGAAGGCCUUCGGGUUGUAAAGCACUUUCAGCGGGGAGGAAGGCGGUAAGGUUAAUAACCUUGUCGAUUGACGUUACCCGCAGAAGAAGCACCGGCUAACUCCGUGCCAGCAGCCGCGGUAAUACGGAGGGUGCAAGCGUUAAUCGGAAUUACUGGGCGUAAAGCGCACGCAGGCGGUCUGUCAAGUCGGAUGUGAAAUCCCCGGGCUCAACCUGGGAACUGCAUUCGAAACUGGCAGGCUAGAGUCUUGUAGAGGGGGGUAGAAUUCCAGGUGUAGCGGUGAAAUGCGUAGAGAUCUGGAGGAAUACCGGUGGCGAAGGCGGCCCCCUGGACAAAGACUGACGCUCAGGUGCGAAAGCGUGGGGAGCAAACAGGAUUAGAUACCCUGGUAGUCCACGCCGUAAACGAUGUCGAUUUGGAGGUUGUGCCCUUGAGGCGUGGCUUCCGGAGCUAACGCGUUAAAUCGACCGCCUGGGGAGUACGGCCGCAAGGUUAAAACUCAAAUGAAUUGACGGGGGCCCGCACAAGCGGUGGAGCAUGUGGUUUAAUUCGAUGCAACGCGAAGAACCUUACCUGGUCUUGACAUCCACAGAACUUUCCAGAGAUGGAUUGGUGCCUUCGGGAACUGUGAGACAGGUGCUGCAUGGCUGUCGUCAGCUCGUGUUGUGAAAUGUUGGGUUAAGUCCCGCAACGAGCGCAACCCUUAUCCUUUGUUGCCAGCGGUUCGGCCGGGAACUCAAAGGAGACUGCCAGUGAUAAACUGGAGGAAGGUGGGGAUGACGUCAAGUCAUCAUGGCCCUUACGACCAGGGCUACACACGUGCUACAAUGGCAUAUACAAAGAGAAGCGACCUCGCGAGAGCAAGCGGACCUCAUAAAGUAUGUCGUAGUCCGGAUUGGAGUCUGCAACUCGACUCCAUGAAGUCGGAAUCGCUAGUAAUCGUAGAUCAGAAUGCUACGGUGAAUACGUUCCCGGGCCUUGUACACACCGCCCGUCACACCAUGGGAGUGGGUUGCAAAAGAAGUAGGUAGCUUAACCUUCGGGAGGGCGCUACC
rnacentral:rRNA from 1 species